rnacentral:tRNA from 1 species
CCGGUAGCUCAGCUGGUUAGAGCGCCAGCCUGUCACGCUGGAGGUCGAGGGUUCGAGCCCCUUCCG